rnacentral:rRNA from 1 species
UUAAUCAACGUAGGGUAAGCCGGCCCCUAAUGCGUAGCUGAAGAGUGAAGUCGAUGUGAAACAGGUUAAUAUUCCUGUGCUGCUUAUAUGAAAGAAGGAGGGACGGAGAAGGUUAGGUAGGCCUGGCGAAUGGUUGUCCAGGUGAAAGUAUGUAGGUAGGAAUGAUAGGCAAAUCCGGUGUUCUGUUGAUCUGAGAUACGAGACGAAGUUAAACUUGUUUGACGAAGCUAUUGAUACAAUGCUUCCAGGAAAAGCUUCUAAGUAUAUUGUAUAAGUGACCGUACUGUAAACCGACACUGGUGGGAAGGUAGAGAAAACUAAGGC